AAUAUUGCACAAUGGGCGCAAGCCUGAUGCAGCCAUGCCGCGUGUGUGAAGAAGGCCUUCGGGUUGUUAAAGCACUUUCAGUCGUGAGGAAGGUAGUGUAGUUAAUAGCUGCAUUAUUUGACGUUAGCGACAGAAGAAGCACCGGCUAACUCCGUGCCAGCAGCCGCGGUAAUACGGAGGGUGCGAGCGUUAAUCGGAAUUACUGGGCGUAAAGCGCAUGCAGGUGGUUUGUUAAGUCAGAUGUGAAAGCCCGGGGCUCAACCUCGGAAUUGCAUUUGAAACUGGCAAACUAGAGUACUGUAGAGGGGGUAGAAUUUCAGGUGUAGCGGUGAAAUGCGUAGAGAUCUGAAGGAAUACCGGUGGCGAAGGCGGCCCCCUGGACAGAUACUGACACUCAGAUGCGAAAGCGUGGGGAGCAAACAGGAUUAGAUACCCUGGUAG
rnacentral:rRNA from 1 species